CAUAUUCUAAUAUGGCAGAAUAGUGCAAUGAAUUUAAGCUUCAUAUAUAAAGUUUAACUUUUGUUAGAAA
rnacentral:tRNA from 1 species